CGCGAAAUUGGAAUUAUAAGGGCCAUAAGCCAGGCGAAGUGGAUGAAUAACAAAAACAAUAAAUGAAUAACAGGGAGAACGUCUAUUGCAAUCUUCAGACUUUCAAGACAAGUGCAUACAAAUUUCUCAAACACAAAAAUCUUUCCUCCUAACGAAAAAUUAAAAUUAAGAAACAAAAAAAGAUGAGCUUAUGCAAUAGGAGGGGGGGGACUGUAUUUUCCUGCUAUAAAAUGUGGUGACCUUGCUGGUGGGCAGCGCGAUUUUCCGAGCAAAAAAUAGCCGUUGGAUGAGCUCUCUUGGCACCAAUCUGACCACCCCCGAAAUUGGGCUUAGCCCCAUGAUGAGUGGUGAGGCGGAUGUGAGAGAAGAAAGAGGCUAAAGAAUGAGCCAACCCACAAACAAUGCCCACUUUAACUUGGCCCCUCUUCGGAAUCGGCCUACUUGAAACUUUGUGGAUUCCGUUCAUCUCUCUCUUCCUUUUUUUCCCUGCAAAUAUCCCAAAUCUUCAGAUAUAGGGCCUUUGGAAUUGGUGAUGAUCUCUCUCUCUCUCUCUCUCUUCAAUGCUAGUGAAAAUGGGAACUUGGUUUUGGGAGGAAGUUAUAAAGGAGGGGAGGGGAGGGGAGGGGAGGGGAAAGAGAGAGAGGCUUAUUUGAUGAGUGAGAAAGGGAGGGUUUAACUUGGGCAAGGUCUAUGUGAUCAAUGAGGACGGUUCAUUUAAGGGAGGGGC
rnacentral:lncRNA from 1 species